rnacentral:rRNA from 1 species
GAUGAACGCUGGCGGCGUGCCUAAUACAUGCAAGUCGAGCGAACAGAUGAGGAGCUUGCUCCUCUGACGUUAGCGGCGGACGGGUGAGUAACACGUGUAUAACGUCCCUGUCUGUCUGGUAUAAUUUCGGAACACGGGAGCUAAUAGCGGAGAAUAUAUUGAACCACAUGGUUGAUUAGUGAAAGACGGCUUUGCGGUCACGUAUAGCUGCAUCUGCGCCGGUUUAGCGAGUUGGUAAUUUAACGGCUUACGACGGCAAGUAUGCGUGAGCGACCGGAGGGGGUGAUCGGCCGCAUUGGAAGUGAGACACGGUCCAGACUCCUACGGGAGGCAGCAGUAUGGAACCUUACGCAAUGGGCGGAAGCCUUACGGAGUAAGGCCGCGUGAGUUGUGAAGGUCCUCGGAUCGGAAAACUCUGUUAUUAGGGAAAAACAAAUUUGUAAGUAACUAUACCCGUCUUGACGGUACCUAAUCAGAAAGCCACGGCUAACUACGUG